rnacentral:rRNA from 1 species
GUUGACCUCGGAUCAGGUAGGAAUACCCGCUGAACUUAAGCAUAUCAAUAAGCGGAGGAAAAGAAACCAACAGGGAUUGCCUUAGUAACGGCGAGUGAAGCGGCAACAGCUCAAAUUUGAAAGCUGGUCCUUUCAGGGCCCGCGUUGUAAUUUGUAGAGGAUGAUUCGGCGAGGGCUCCCGCCUAAGUCCCCUGGAACGGGGCGUCAUAGAGGGUGAGAAUCCCGUAUGCGGUGGGUUGCCUUAGCCAUGUGAAUCUCCUUCGACGAGUCGAGUUGUUUGGGAAUGCAGCUCUAAAUGGGAGGUAAAUUUCUUCUAAAGCUAAAUACCGGCCAGAGACCGAUAGCGCACAAGUAGAGUGAUCGAAAGAUGAAAAGCACUUUGGAAAGAGAGUUAAAAAGUACGUGAAAUUGUUGAAAGGGAAGCGCUUGCAACCAGACUUGUCCGCAGUUGCUCAGCCGGUCUCCUGACCGGCGUACUCUUCUGCGGCCAGGCCAGCAUCAGUUCGGGCGGUCGGAUAAAGACCUCGGGAAUGUAGCUCUCUUCGGGGAGUGUUAUAGCCCGGGGUGGAAUGCGGCCAGCCUGGACUGAGGAACUCGCUUCGGCUAGGAUGCUGGCGUAAUGGUUGUAAGCGGCCCGUCUUGAAACACGGACCAAGGAGUCUAACAUCUAUGCGAGUGUUUGGGUGUCAAACCCAUACGCGAAAUGAAAGUGAACGGAGGUGGGAACCCCUCACGGGGCGCACCAUCGGCCGAUCCUGAUGUCUUCGGAUGGAUUUGAGCAAGAGCAUAGCUGUUGGGACCCGAAAGAUGGUGAACUAUACCUGAAUAGGGUGAAGCCAGAGGAAACUCUGGUGGAGGCUCGCAGCGGUUCUGACGUGCAAAUCGAUCGUCAAAUUUGGGUAUAGGGGCGAAAGACUAAUCGAACCAUCUAGUAGCUGGU